rnacentral:rRNA from 1 species
UACGAAGGGUGCGAGCGUUGUUCGGAUUUACUGGGCGUAAAGCGCGCGCAGGCGGGUAUUUAAGUCAGAUGUGAAAUCUCGGGGCUCAACCCCGAAACUGCGUCUGAAACUGGAUAUCUAGAAUACCAGAGAGGGAAGGGGAAUUUCACAUGUAGGGGUAAAAUCCGUAGAGAUGUGAAGGAAUACCGGAGGCGAAGGCGCCUUCCUGGAUGGUGAUUGACGCUGAGGCGCGAAAGCGUGGGGAGCAAACAGG